AUGGCGGCACCAGCAGGAGAUUCCUCCGGCGGCGACAAGUACAGGUCUCACCUGGCCGGCGAGGGCGAGAAGAACACCGUUUGGCGGCACGGCGCGCCGCCCACCUACGACGCCGUGAACAGCCUCUUCGAGGCCGGGAGGACUCAGGAGUGGGCGAAGGGGUCGCUGGAGGAGACGGUGCAGAACGCGAUCAAGACGUGGGAGAUGGAGCUGUCGCACAAGGCCCGCAUCGGGGACUUCAAGUCGGUGAGCCCCGGCCGGUUCACCCUGUCCGUGAACGGCGGGCGGGCCCUGACGGGGGAGGAGACGCUGGCCAUGGGCAGCUACAACGCGCUGCUCGCCAGCCCGAUCCUGCCGGGCACGGGCGCGUACGACGCCGCCGCCGAGACGUUCGAGUCCUCGCACGACCUGUUCCGCUCCGCCUUCCCGCGCGGCUUCGCGUGGGAGGUGGUCAAGGUCUACUCCGGCCCGCCGGUGAUCGCCUUCAAGUUCCGGCACUGGGGCCACAUGGAGGGGCCCUACAAGGGCCACGCCCCCACCGGGGACAAGGUCGAGUUCUACGGCGUCGCCGUGCUCAAGGUGGACGAGCAGCUGCGGGCGGAGGACGUGGAGGUGUUCUACGACCCGGGGGAGCUGCUCGCGGGGCUUAUCAAGGGUCCCAAGGAGGAAGACGAGGAGGCGGCGGCGCUCGCCGGGAGGCUCCGGGAGGCGGCUACGGUGUCGGCAUCAGGUGCCGACGCGCAGCCGCAGGCCUGCCCCUUCCUUGGCUCUGGAAAGCAGGGGUGA
rnacentral:rRNA from 1 species